GCUUUUUUUGCUGGGGCAUCUCACAAAGUGUAGCACGGUCCCCGUGUGAGAGUUGGAGUUAAUGAAGUCUGACUUCCUCUGGGCUUGUUUGCCGUGGUUAGCUGACUGUGAUCUCUAAGAACAAAAGGCUUUUUGUGUUGUCGGAGCUUCAUGUGGCUCUCUCUGUCCCUUCUGUGACAUCUCUGCAGUCUGUCCCCUGUUUGAAGGGCUUUUGUGGUCUCCUGUACUCAGAUAGCUGAUCUCAGAAAACCGAUAGGAACUCCCUUACCUCCUGUCCUCACCCACUCCAACAGACUGCUGAAAGGAGGCUUCAGCAAAAACCUACAGCACUGCAGCAUGACUGUAAAAGCCACAUUUUCAUCAGAAACAGGGCAGCUAGGCUUUCCACAAAUCUAUUUUUUCUGCCUUUCAGCUCUGCAGCACCAAUUGGGCUGAGCAAGUUCUCCCCACCCUUCCGCGGGCCCUUCGGCUACACGUGCGUGGCUUCACCUGCGGCAGCUCCCAGGACAGGCUGGCUCAGCUCCUGCGAGCAGAGGAUGGCAGUUCCUUCAGACAGGCACGUGGUGGCAAGAUCUGGGGUUCGGUUUCCUCGUCCUACACAAAGAAAGCUUCUUGAGUUCGGACUCCUAGCCACUACCGGUAGGUCCUGCCUUGCUCAGCUGUCGUCGUCUCAGUGUGGUUUCGCCAGGUGGGGUGGGAAGGUGGGUGGGAGGGGAGGAGCUGGAG
rnacentral:lncRNA from 1 species